rnacentral:rRNA from 1 species
GGCAUGGGGCACCUGGAUCCAGCCAUUCCGCGUGAGUGAAGAAGGCCUUCGGGUUGUAAAGCUCUUUCAGCUGGAACGAAACGGUACAGGCCAAUACCCUGUGCUAAUGACGGUACCGGCAGAAGAAG